UACGGGAGGCAGCAGUGGGGAAUAUUGCACAAUGGGCGCAAGCCUGAUGCAGCCAUGCCGCGUGUAUGAAGAAGGCCUUCGGGUUGUAAAGUACUUUCAGUCGUGAGGAAGGUGUUAAGGUUAAUAACCUUAGCAAUUGACGUUAGCGACAGAAGAAGCACCGGCUAACUCCGUGCCAGCAGCCGCGGUAAUACGGAGGGUGCGAGCGUUAAUCGGAAUUACUGGGCGUAAAGGGCACGCAGGCGGUUAAUUAAGUUGGAUGUGAAAUCCCCGGGCUUAACCUGGGAAUGGCAUUCAAGACUGGUUAGCUAGAGUCUUGUAGAGGGGGUAGAAUUCCAUGUGUAGCGGUGAAAUGCGUAGAGAUGUGGAGGAAUACCGGUGGCGAAGGCGGCCCCUGGACAAAGACUGACGCUCAUGUGCGAAAGCGUGGGGAGCAAACAGGGAUUAGAUACC
rnacentral:rRNA from 1 species